AAGCCAAACAAAACAUUACGUCAUUUUAUAUAACCAAACACUGAAUAAAUAGUACAAUGGUAAAAUUAUAUUUUACAUAUUCUGAAUGUUCAAUGUUAAAUGUUCACCACAAACAGAAGGGUUUUAAAAGAUAAAUGUUUAUUAAGAGAUAUAAACUUUUUUCCAUUUUUCUUUUUUCUCUUUUUUUUUUUUUUUUUUUUUUUGGGGGGGGGGGUAUACAGUAAAAUCUUUAUCGAUACACUUGCUUUUUUUAACUUACAGAUAUCCUCAAAAUAAAAAAAUAAAACAUUUCUGAUCAUUACUUUAAAAAGGUUCUCUCUUGCAUAAACACUGCCCCCUUUAGCUGUUCUUUAAAAAUGGAAGGGUUUCAAAAACGCGCAACAGCGGGAAACCAGUCUCUGUUAUUAAAACACCCUGAGAAUGCACAUUAAUCUCUGUAUUAAAAAAAAAUUGUGCCUCUCUCAACAUUUACAUUUCUGUAAUGAAGCAUCCCAAAGGUAGCAAGGUAGAAGCUGUUGAGAUCAACUGAGCAUCUCCCUUUGCGAUUGGCUUACAGUUUUAACUUGGCAAAGUCAAAAAAAAAAAAAAAAUUCAUAUUAAAUCCAAUAAAUUUAAUCCAUAACAUUGGCAUUAUCCUUAGAAUUAAGCUUUACGUUCUAAUUAAAAAAGUACAAAUUGUCACAGUAAGUAAAUCUGCAUUGAGUUUUUGGUGUUAAUUCGGCAUACCGUGUACGGCAGCUUAAAUUGGCCCCUGUUCAUUGUUUCUGACAUAUUACAACAGCUUAAAAGUCAUACGUAAUUCCACACUUCCAUGCACCAACUUUCUGAAAGACAGGUGAAGACAGGAACAAUGCAUAUCGUUCUACAAAGUAUUGCACAUUACAUUUCACAGCAAGCUUCUUUUUUUUUUUUUUUUGUCGAUUAAAAGUUGUGGAUGAGAUCUAUUAGUAACUGCUGAACAGAAUAGUCAAAUACAGUGAUGUUUCUGAAUACAAAAGGCAAAUGUGAUUGGAAA